CAUGCAGGCGGUCGGACGCGUUUCCAGUGACAGCGGGUGGCUUACCUACCCGAGUAUUGGAAAGACGGUUAGACUUGAGGACUCGAGAGGGACACGGAAUUCCGGGUGGAGUGGUGAAAUGCGUAGAGAUCCGGAGGAACAUCGAAGGCGAAGGCAGUGUCCUAGCGAGUGACUGACGCUGAGGUGCGAAAGCCAGGGGAGCGAACGGGAUUAGAUACCCCGGUAGUCCUGGCCGUAAACGAUGACCACCAGGUGUGGGAGGUAUCGACCCCUUCUGUGCCGGAGGAAACCCACUAAGUGGUCCGCCUGGGGAGUACGGUCGCAAGAUUAAA
rnacentral:rRNA from 1 species